rnacentral:pre_miRNA from 1 species
GCUCGAUGGAGAAGCAGGGCACGUGCAUUACAAAUCCAUCUUCCUUUGAAGAUGAAGAAAAAGAAGAAAAGUAGUGAAAUGUAAGGGUGGUUUUGUGGUUCAUGUGCCUAUCUUCUCCAUCAUGC